rnacentral:misc_RNA from 1 species
AUAUUUUGAAUUAAGUAUAUUCAUAAUAUGUUAUCAGACGAAUGUUGUUCAAGGUUAUAGGUUGGUGUAGGUGUUUCUCCGAAAAGAAACACAACAUUGCACACAAGGUGAGUACUAUUUUUAAAAAGUGCAGUAAAACACUUAUUAUGAAUGAUCCUUCCGCAGGUUCACCUACGGAAA